rnacentral:snRNA from 1 species
GGAUGGGAGAGCAAUCUGGCUGCUGCAUCUUCACCCCACUGAUGGCCAGGAAGGUUGAUUCGGCUGAUCUGGCUGGCUAGGCGAGUGCUCCCUUCCUCCCUCACUGCUCCAUGUUGCAUCCCUCCCAAAGCUGUACACUUGGUCAAAGAUGACGAACUUCCCGGAAUAGAAGAAGACCAGUCUUCGGUCAUGAGUAUAGCAGCAGCUGCCCUUCCCUGUUAGGACCUCCAAACAAGCUCUAAAUUAUUUUUAUUUUAUGUGUAAGGGAGCUUUGCCUGCAUGGAUGUGCCAAGUAC